AUGCUCACUUUGGAAACAUAUAUUCUAAAAGUGGAAACAUACAGAUAAAAUUAGCCUGGUCUCUGUUCAAGAAUGACAUGUAAAUUUGUGAAGCAUUCCAUUGCUCU